rnacentral:rRNA from 1 species
UGCUGGAUGCUGACGAGCGGCGGACGGGUGAUUAAUGCAUAGGAAUCUGCCCGGUAGUGGGGGAUAACCUGGGGGAAACCCAGGCUAAUACCGCAUACGCCCUACGGGGGAAAGCAGGGGCUCUUCGGACCUUGCGCUAUCGGAUGAACCUAUGUCGGAUUAGCUAGUUGGUAGGGUAACGUGCCUACCAAGGUCGACGAUCCGUAGCUGGUCUGAGAGGAUGAUCAGCCACACUGGGACUGAGACACGGCCCAGACUCCUACGGGAGGCAGCAGUGGGGAAUAUUGGACAAUGGGGGCAACCCUGAUCCAGCCAUGCCGCGUGUGUGAAGAAGGCCUUCGGGUUGUAAAGCACUUUCAGUGGGGAAGAAGGCCUUGCGGUUAAUACCCGCAAGGAAGGACAUCACCCACAGAAGAAGCACCGGCUAACUCCGUGCCAGCAGCCGCGGUAAUACGGAGGGUGCGAGCGUUAAUCGGAAUUACUGGGCGUAAAGCGCGCGUAGGCGGCCAAGUAAGCCGGUUGUGAAAGCCCCGGGCUCAACCUGGGAAUGGCAUCCGGAACUGUUUGGCUAGAGUGCAGAAGAGGAAGGUAGAAUUCCCGGUGUAGCGGUGAAAUGCGUAGAGAUCGGGAGGAAUACCAGUGGCGAAGGCGGCCUUCUGGUCUGACACUGACGCUGAGGUGCGAAAGCGUGGGUAGCAAACAGGAUUAGAUACCCUGGUAGUCCACGCCGUAAACGAUGUCGACUAGCCGUUGGGAGCCUUGAGUUCUUAGUGGCGCAGUUAACGCGAUAAGUCGACCGCCUGGGGAGUACGGCCGCAAGGUUAAAACUCAAAUGAAUUGACGGGGGCCCGCACAAGCGGUGGAGCAUGUGGUUUAAUUCGAUGCAACGCGAAGAACCUUACCUACCCUUGACAUCCUGCGAACCCUUCGGAGACGAAGGGGUGCCUUCGGGAGCGCAGAGACAGGUGCUGCAUGGCUGUCGUCAGCUCGUGUUGUGAAAUGUUGGGUUAAGUCCCGUAACGAGCGCAACCCUUGUCCUUAUUUGCCAGCGCGUAAUGGCGGGAACUCUAAGGAGACUGCCGGUGACAAACCGGAGGGAAGGUGGGGACGACGUCAAGUCAUCAUGGCCCUUACGGGUAGGGCUACCCACGUGCUACAAUGGCAAGUACAAAGGGUUGCAAUCCGGCGACUUGGAGCUAAUCCCAUAAAGCUUGCCUCAGUCCGGAUCGGAAUCUGCAACUCGACUCCGUGAAGUCCG